rnacentral:lncRNA from 1 species
CCGGAGUUGAACCCUGUUACUAGAGCCCGGAGUUGGACCCUGUUACUAGAGCCCGGAGUUGAACCCUGUUACUAGAGCCCGGAGUUGAACCCUGUUACUAGAGCCUGAACUUCUUCCUGCUCAGGUCAGGAUCAUGUUUAAUGCCAACUUGCCUACAUAAGGAACUAAAUGAUCAUGAGAGAAUUGCGGCAUUAGUUGAUGUGAUGGUUUCUUGGAGACCAGGCUGCAGGGGAACGGACUCUGACGACCCCAGUGGCACCCAAUCAUAUGGGACAGAAUCUUUAACUGGAGUUACUCUCAACACACACCCCCAUUGUCCCAGUGGGGUUUGGGGCAGCAGAAUAAUAUUGUGUCAGUAAAGCUGGUGGUGGAUCUCUGAGGUGCUGCCGGGUAUAUUUAUUACCUUCACCAGAGUAACACUACGCUCCCAAGACAUUCCCCUCACACACACCACACACACACCAACCUCCUUAGGGACAGACCGCAAGCGCCUCUCUCUCUCUUUCUCACCCGCCAUUUGACAUAUUGGUGUUAAUGUACUCCUGUAGCCAGCUCUGGGCAGACAUGGAGCUGGCAGUUGACUUUUCACCCCUCUCCUCCUCUCUUCCCAACAUGUUGUACUGGGUUGUGUGUGUGUGUGUGUAACUAUGUAAGUGCAAGAUACUGUGUUAGUGACUGUGUGACCCCAUUGGGCUCCCGAGUGGCGCAGCGGUCUAAGGCACUGCAUCUCAGUGCUAGAGGCGUCACUACAGACCCUGGUUCGAUUCCAGGCUGUUUCACAACCAUUGGGAGUCCCAUAGGGCGGCGCACAAUUGGCCCAGCGUCGUCCAGAUUAGGGUUUGGCCGGGGUAGGCUGUCGUUGUAAAUAAUAAUUUGUUCUUAACUGACUUGCCUAGUUAAAGAAAACAUUUAAAAGUGGGGGUGCGGGGCUUGUGUGGAUUGAGGAUGUGUGGAAUAUGUGGGUCAGUAGCUAGGUUUCCAUCCAAUUUGCUAAAGAUUUUCAUGCGAAUAUUCUAAAAUCUGCAUAAAACAAUCUGCUCAUUUUCCCACCAUAGAUGUAUUUCCACCAAACAGACGUAUUGAGGAUAAAAGGCUGUGUGUGAUGAUGUACUGCAUAUAAAAUAACUAUUGUGGUUAAAUUCCCAUUUAACCAAAUGAAGAAUACAAGUUAAAUGGGUUUCCAUCGCACUUUCAACUCUAAUGAUGGUUUUGUCAAUUGUGUUAUAGAGCAAAUGUGUCCACUCUGGUCUUGGCACAUGUUCUAGCCAACAGCUGGCAGACACAGUGAGGGGGGGCUACCUACAUUAUCACAUUAUUAUGGAUAUUAGUUUUAUUUGUAAAAUGGCAGCCAAGCAUCGAUCAUCAUUCACCAGAUUAAGACCCUGGAUAUUUAUUGGAGAGGAGCAUCAAGUUCAUCACCGUGCACUUUCACCACCCUGUGAAGCUCAUCACCGUGCACUUUCACCCCCCUGUGAAGCUCAUCACCGUGCACUUUCACCACCCUGUGAAGUUCAUCACCGUGCACUUUCACCACCCUGUGAAGCUCAUCACCGUGCACUUUCACCACCCUGUGAAGCUCAUCACCGUGCACUUUCACCACCCUGUGAAGCUCAUCACCGUGCACUUUCACCACCCUGUAAAGUUCAUCACCGUGCACUUUCACCCCCCUGUACUUUCACCCCCCUGUGAAGUUCAUCAGAACUUAUUUCAUCUGUAGCCUAAUAACCUGCCUGCUUUCCCAAGUUGUGGUGCGAGGACCACACAGCAUAUCAAGUUGUGGUGGGAGGACCACACAGCAUAUCAAGUUGUGGUGGGAGGACCACACAGCAUAUCAAGUUGUGGUGGGAGG